AGCUACAGAUCUGCCACAUGAACCGUUUUAUAGAAGAUUAUUUGGCUCGGGGCACAUUUUUAGUACUGCUGCGUAUGGGUGUGUGCCCCACCCAAAGCUCAACCUUUAAAAAGUCAAUACUGGCUCCAGUGCAACAAGAGGCACAUAUUUUUAACUGCCUGAUACACUUGUUAACGUAUCCCAGAGUGCCUUUUUUCAGGUUAUGUUCUUUUUUCCAUCUACACUCUGUUUUGUUGGAUGAAGCAUGUGUAUUUUCAUGUUUUGCUAACUUGUGAAUACACUCUUUAACCUCUUGUGCUCAUAGGUCACACCCUCAUCUGAGGCUCCAGUGGUUGCUGCCUCUGAAACUGAGAUUCACACAGUUGAUUCUGCGAUCAUAAAAACUGAGAUUCAGGAGACAGAGGAUAAAUGUGAGAGACCGGAAGAAGCUGAGGCCCUGGCAGAGAAAGGCGCUGUGACUGAGGUCGAAGUGGAGGUGGCUGUCACAGAAGAUAUUGCCGUACCAGAGCCUGUGACACGAGCCUCUGAAAAAACAGUGGGAGAUGCAGUUAGCGGUGGCCAAGCUUCUGCUGAAGAAGAGCCUCCUCUGGGCAAGGUGGUUACAGAGACUGUUGCUGAAUCAGUGGUGGAGGUUGUCACAGAUGUACCUGAGAGCGAACGAGUGACUGAAGCGGCUGUUAGUCCUACAACCACAGCUGCUGAAGAUGGGAAAGAGAUGUUGGCGGAGGAGAAUGCACCCGAAGUCCCUUCUGAGACUGCUAUAAAAACAGAGCACACUCCUGUUGAUUCUGUGGAGGCUGCUGCAGUG